AGAGUUUUGAGAGCUAGGAAGACAAAUGAUGGUGAACAGGCGGCCAACAGGCAGGUUGACUAUGACCCGUGUUCAGCAGGCUCAUGCGACGUCAGCGGAGCGUCAUGCAGCACCAAACAGACCAUCAAGGACCAAUUCCAGACAGCGUUGUCCUUCACAAUUCCGCAUAUUGUAAAAAAAUUAUCACCUGCGAAGAACCUUCCUGCGGAUGAGUCACUUCGUCGUGAAACCCAAAUCGAAAGGCCAGUAGCUGCAUCCGGCCCAUCUCGUGCACCCAGCUUGGCCGACACCGACAGCAACUCGUCAGAGGAUGGUGCGGAGCUGCUCCACGAUCUGCUCUUUCGAGCCACUGAUCGGCACCCGCCCUGUUGAGCCUAACCGAGACGAGCAGCGACAGCAGAAGAAGAAGGAUGUCGUUUAAGGAAGCUCCGCGUCAGAAAUAUCUUCAGGGCCGGAUUGACCAUCAGCAAUGUGUGGUGCCAGUUUUGGUUUAAUCUUUUUGAAUCCUAGCUAAUUUGUAAAAUUUUGUAAUUUUUAAUUUUCAUCUUGUCCUAAAUUUCACCCGCCGCUAGAAUCGCUAGAUGAUUUGACCUUUAAUCUGAAAUGUGUAAAGUUGAGCCAUAAGACGUACUAUAAAUUGAAUGUAGCCCCAU